AUUGAACGCUGGCGGCAUGCCUUACACAUGCAAGUCGAACGGCAGCGGGGACUUCGGUCCGCCAGCGAGUGGCGAACGGGUGAGUAACGUAUCGGAACGUACCAUUGAGUGGGGGAUAACGUAGCGAAAGUUACGCUAAUACCGCAUAUUCUCUCCGGAGGAAAGCAGGGGACCGCAAGGCCUUGCGCUCUUUGAGCGGCCGAUAUCAGAUUAGCUAGUUGGUGAGGUAAAGGCUCACCAAGGCGACGAUCUGUAGCGGGUCUGAGAGGAUGAUCCGGCACACUGGAACUGAGACACGGUCCAGACUCCUACGGGAGGCAGCAGUGGGGAGUUUUGGACAAUGGGGGCAACCCUGAUCCAGCCAUGCCGCGUGAGUGAAGAAGGCCCUCGGGUUGUAAAGCUCUUUCGGCCGGGAAAAAAUCGCAUGGGCUAAUACCCUGUGUGGAUGAUGGUACCGGAAUAAGAAGCACCGGCUAACUACGUGCCAGCCGCCGCGGUAA
rnacentral:rRNA from 1 species